CCAUAUUUACCUGGCUAACAAGUGGACCUUUCCCUCAUACCGGUUCCCUUCCCAAACCCUGCAUUACCUGCCCUGCAAUGAAGCAUCCUCAGGAAAAGUAAAAUCAGACCAACAUUUCUGUUGACAGACAACGUCAGAACGAUUCGGUGUGACUGAAAGAACCAAACGAUCUAUGUCUUCGGGGAAACAGGAGGUGUUCCUUCUACACUGGAAGUCGUGCACCGUGGAGGCGGAGCGAGGGAGAAGGUGGAGGGGAUCCUCAACAUCUGUAUCAGGCCAGGCAAACACUGGUUAAGUGUCUGUUAAAUGGACAAGUGGAGAAAUAUACUUAAAAAAAAAAAUGUCUGGAUUUCCAAACAUCUUCUCAGCGAUUUACCUGUGACAGGGGAUAUGGAAGCUACUAGUCACAUAUCCCACAUUUACCAGGGCAGAUGCGCACGGAGACACCCGUGAGACCAGAACCUUUGCUGCAGCUAAAUGCCAGUGGACAAGAGCCAAGGGUCAUGACAUCCUGUGCCGCAGAUGGCAGGAAGGUCAAGGGCUACCAGGGAAACGGCAGGUGAGGCCCAAAGUCAGCCAUGAGGGAGCGUCCGUCGUCAAGAGCCUCAAAGCCCAAUACCCCCUGUCCAGCUAGCUACCUAACAAUACUGAAAGGAAGCAGGUGAGGAUUCUGAGAUUCUCUUAGCUUCAUCCUGAGUUCAGAUCUUGUAGCCGGUAGGCUGACAGGCUCAUCAGUGCUGACUUGGUUUCUGAUCCUUUGACGGUUACCCUGCUGAUGGAAUUAACUUCUUCUUUGAGUCUGAAGUGUUGUCCAUUCAACCCUAACGUUCUUUUUUUGGGGAAAGGGUUGAAACUAGACGUCAGAACAUUUAUCUCAUUCACACCUGUCAUCUUGGGCCAGGAAACAAGCUAGCUGCUAAGCCAAGCACGGUUAGAAAAAAAUCACUGUUGGCAAGCAGACUUGAACCCAUAAAACUGGAGAGAAGAAAGUUGGUUUCAGGGCUGGAGAGACAGCUCAGGCUCCUCUUCCAGAGGUCCUGAGUUCAAUUCCC